CUGGCUUCCAAAGCCAGUUUUGCUGCAGUGCUAAGAGCAUGGCCCUCGGCAAGUUACUUACUGUCUUGGAGCUCCAGUGUGUCCAUGUGGAUAGAAAGAGCUCCUGUUUUUCACACAGGAUGUGUUAAGCUUUUAAGAAGGAUGUAGUGCCAGGAUAAUGCCCUGCCAAUCUGGAGGCUGGUGUUUUUGUAAAGCUGUGAAAGGAAACUUUCUACAGUCUGACAGAGAAAAGAUGAGAGCUUCUCCCUUGUGCAGCUCUCUAUGUGACCACAUGCUUUAGGUCUCUGACAUAUCAAAGUAGGGCAUAUACCUUAGAGCUCCUCUGGCUGAAUAUUAUUUCAGGGGUCUCAAAGAUUGGCUAUCUUGCUAAAGUAGUUUAUCAGCAAAAUACGAGAAAUGGUUCACAAACUAUAAUAUAGGAAAUAUUUAAUCAGUAAGUAGGUAUUUGCAUUAAAAACAAAACAGAUGACAACUGCAUCAAAGCACAGGGAUAAUUGCAUGUUGAAAUGAUAUUCGACUAAAGCAAGGGGCAUGUAGGAAGUCACUUUGAAUUGUGGUGUUGUAGAGAAGUACCUAAUUGCUUGUUCCUCUUGUCACUUUGCUUCUUUUAAGUGACUUAAGCAAGGUAGAUUCUUAAAUUGUGCCUUUAUAAAUCUUUUCAGUUGUGUAAUGUGAAAAUUAUUAAUGUAUGAUUAUCUAGACGUAGUUGUGUAGUGUAUCAUUUUCUUUGGAUAGUUAAUGAGAUGUUGGCGUUUGUGCCAUUUAUCUUGGGAAAAAAAGAAUAGUUUUCUUUCACAUCCACUUCUUUAGCCACACUUUAUCUUUGAUUUGGAUGGGUUUAUAUAUAACUAUGUGUGUGUGUAUGUGGGUGUCUAUUUUUGUUUGCUUUAUGUGUAAGUGAUAAUAAGAAUAUAUGAAUCUAGUUGUCAGCUAGAUUCUAUUUGCAUAAACAAAAGUGGGUACCUGCUCUCUGCAAUGGCUACUCCCUUAAGAAAAUUAAGUGUCCACAGAAUUGGUGACCUGUUUUUAAGAGAACCUGUAACAUCUUUCUAAAUGAAAAAUCAUUCCAGCAAUAUUUACUAUUGGCAAUUUUCUUCUGUCUGCUUUUUGAACUUAUUGGCCAACCAGGUCAGACAUUAUUAAAGUUCAAAGGGUCUAGGGGGAAGAGUAAUGGUUUUGUGGUACUAUGAAUUUUAAGUCUUGCCAUUUUCAGGUGUUAUAGCAUCUGUUCUCACAUGCCACUAAAAAUGCAUAGAAGUUUUAGACCAAAUUCAGGGUCAAAGUUACAAGAGUGAUGAUGCUUCUGACUCAUUCUCUUAGCGUUAUAUUACCCAAAUUAUCUGCAUACCAUGCUGUAGUAAGAUCCUUUUUGACAAGUUAUUUGAAAGAACUUAUUAUAACAAGGCUUUUUUUGGGGGAGGAUUUAGCACUUCUUGGCAAUUUGUUUAGGUACAGUUGGAGAAUCUGUUCUGACUGAACUGGUUAGCUAUUGACAAUACUCAGAUAGACAGUAGGGAGUCCUUUAGUUCUGAGAAUAACUGUGUUUUCUACUUACCAGAAGCAAUGUCUUUUGAAUAUAAAACUCUUGGGGAGACUGAGUCCUGUGCCACAUAUGCUUUUGAGAGUCCACUCUCCAGCACAUCGAAGUUGUUAACAGACAGGUGCUUGAUAAAUAUUUGUUGAAAUACUGAAUAAGUGAACUAACCAUCUAUUUGGAGAGGCUUCUAAAUGUGUAGCUGUUUAAUAUACAUUGGUGAGUUUAAUGAAAUGAAGAGAGACUGAGAAGGAAACUUAUACAAAAUUAUCAUGCGUUGGUUGAGUGAGUCUAGGUAUACCUGCAUCUCUAUGGAAAUGGAAUGUCCAUACCUCAUAAAAUCAGCUGCUUUAAAAAUUUUCUUAGUUUUGUCAUUAUAUUGAAAGAGAAUAGGAGAAAGAACGUUUGUGUUUUGGGAAUCAAAUACUUUAUUCCUAAAGUUGGCAAAUAGUUUACUAAACGGAAUUAAUUGUGUCUUGAACUGAAAACAUCAGCAAGGCAUUUGCCUUUUAUCAAAUGAAUAUCUAGUUGUUUUUUUGGUGGUAUCCCUAGCCCUACACUCUGUUACUCACCAAUGGUGUUUGUGAAAUGAAGUUCAUAAUUAUUAGAGAUAACAACGGAAUAACAUAUAGUAGGAGUUUAAAAUGGCUUAAAUUUAUUGAAUAAGUGAAGUGAAUCAAGACAACUUUUAGCCAUGGUACAUUAUUCAGAGUUAUAUAGCAGCUUCAUUUAUGAUUGUUGAGUUCACUUGGAUAGAGUGCUGUUCCCAUGAUAGAAAAUGUAGUUUUCCCCAGGUGUCUGUUUUCUCGUUCUUCUAGUGUGAUAGAAUCCUCCAGUUUUGACCAGAACAUGACUUCUAAGAACAGAGGCGUCCUUGUGUCGCUCACGGCCAUGGGACUGAAUUCUGGCUGUUGCAGAGUAAGCAUAAGUUUUAUGUGGCAGCUUCAUUUUAUGUGGAGCCUUCCUUAAGAGACAGCCCUUGUCUCUCUUCUUCAAGAUCCUUUCGCAGUCUUGCUGUCUGGAAUGCACGUGCCACAGUCUUAACCGUGGGCUGAUAGAAUGGUGAGCUGACAGGAGCCUGGGUCCCAAGGACUUCCUGGAGCAAAAUUGCUAUGGUGGAGGAGACAAAUCUUACUGGGAAAGACAAACAUUUCUGUACUGUAUAGUCCGUAGUUAAUUUGGGAUUGUAUUUUCUCUCCCUUGUAACCGAUCCUCACCCCAUCUAUGUAGAGAUAGACAGGCUGAGUUUUAUCAGAUUGGAUUUCUAGGAAAUAAGAUCAGAGUGAGGCUGCAUGAAACCAAGUUUCUCACCAUAUUCAGAGCCGUUUUAAAGUGUGUGCCUUACUGAUUGCUGGUGAGUCAUGUAACCUUUCAGUAAGCUUGGCAUGUUAUGCUACUGAGUGUCUUUCCUUCCCUGGUUCUGGAUUUGGUCUGACUAUGUCAGGACUUGUACGUGGCUUUUACAGAUUUCCUGCAAUGACUGGUCUGCAUUAUCUUCCUGGAUGCUGUAAAGAUAGAGGGUUGGGUUAGGGAGAGGUCACUGAUUAUAUAAUCAACAGGUCACAGAGCUCUUUUUAGGCAUCGUUAUUUUUAGUCUGGACACGAACAUCUUUUCCCUGAGAAAAAGUUUCCAUCAAUCUCACUAUUUGUUGAUAUCUCUUAAAAAGGUAACAGUUGGUUGCUUGAAUUUUGUGAUAUUGUAGCCAUUUUAUCAAAAUGAAAGCAGAGGCCAAAACAUACUAGGUUUUUGUUCUGUAUUUGAUAUAGCUAAAAUUUCUAAGACUUAAAAAUCAAUUAGUAGCACACAUUCUCUUAUUCUUCUUGCGAAGCUUAAAGUCACUAAUUAUUAGGCACCACAGUGUUUGGAAGCAAAACAUCUCCUUUAGUAAUGGCAUCUCUGUUACGUGUUCACAUGUUGUCUCAAUGCACGUUCAUUUGCUGUGUCUGUGAGUUGCAGUGUUUUUAUAUUUCCCCUUAAAAUGGAUGUGUGUGUUUGGUACGCGGGUGUUAGGAAAUGAGAGGAGGAGGGUCAUUCUUCAUUAAGUCAUCUCUUGAAAGGCUAAUAUAUGCAAGUCACUAUGCUAACUAUUGAUGAUGUAAAGUUAAAAAGAUACAAAGAUUGAAAAAAAAGGGAUUCCCUGUCUUAAAUAACUCAGUUUUGGAGAGGCGGCUGCAACGCCGAGCAGAGGAGGCAGGAACCGGAGUGCGAGCAGUAGCUGGGUGGGCACCAUGGCUGGGAUCACCACCAUCGAGGCGGUAAAGCGCCAGAUCCAGGUUCAGCAGCAGGCAGAUGAUGCAGAGGAGCGAGCUGAGCGCCUCCGGUGAGAAGUUGAGGGAGAAAGGCGGGCCCGGGAACAGGCUGAGGCUGAGGUGGUCUCCUUGAACAGUAGGAUCCAGCUAGUUGAAGAGGAGCUGGGCCAUGUUCAGGAGCGCCUGGCCACUGCCCUGCAAAAGCUGGAAGAAGCAGAAAAAGCUGCUGAUGAGAGUGAGAGGGGUAUGAAGGUUAUUGAAAACCAGGCCUUAAAAGAUGAAGAAAAGAUGGAACUCCAGGAAAUCCAACUCAAAGAAGCUAAGCACAUGGCAGAAGAGGCAGGUAGGAAGUACGAAGAGGCGGCCCGUAAGUUGGUGAUCAUUGAAGGAGACUUGGAACGCACAGAGGAAUGAGCUGAGCUGGCGGAGUCCUGUUGCCGAGAGAUGGAUGAGCAGAUCAGACUGAUGGUCUAGAACCUGCAGUGUCUGAGUGCCGCUGAAGAAAAGUACUCUCAAAAAGAAGACAAAUAUGAGGAAGAGAUCAAGAUUCUUGCUGAUAAACUCAAGAAGAGACCUGUAUUAAGUUUGCUGAGAGAUCGGUAGCCAAGCUAUGAUAUGAUGGAUGACUUGGAAGAUAAACUGAAAAUGUACCAGAGGAGCACCUCUGUAGACAAAGGAUGUUGGACCAGACUCUGCUUGACCUGAUUGAGAUGUAGAGCGCCCCAGUCCCACCCUGCUGCUGCUCCUCCCUCUGACCCUGACUCCACCUGAGGCCAGCCUGCCCGAAGCUGCCCUUUAACUGAGGGCUGAUCUUUAACUGGACAGCUGCUUUCUCCUUCCACCAUCCCCUCCUCCCCUGCGUCUUUUUCGCCAAACUGUCUCUGCCUCUUCCCGGAGAUUCCAGCUGGGCUAGAGGCUGAGCACCUUUGGAAGCAACAUUUAAGGGAAUGUGAGCACAAUGCAUAAUGUCUUUAAAACGCAUGUUGUGAUAUACACAUUCUGUCAUUACCUUUUUUGUGGUUUUGUAGCAACCAUUUAUAAAACAUUCCAAAUAAUUCCACAGCCCUGAAGCAGCAAUCGAAUCCCUUCCUCACUUUGGGAAGGUGACUUCUCACCUUAAUGCAUAUUCUCCUCUCCAUAGAGGAGAGGAAAAGGUAUAGGCCUGCCUUACUGAGAGCCAGACAGAGCCCAGAGAGACUCCCCUGUGGGAAACCUCAUUGCUCUCUACAAAGUACUAGCCAAACCAGAAAGGUGAUUCCGGGAGGAGUUGGCCAAACAGCAACAACAAAAAAUGUGCUGUUCAGGUUUUCAGCGUUAAGAUAUCUUUGCAUGUUAUUUCUAUUUUUUUAUUUUUUUUUCAUUAGAAGUCACCAAAUUAAGAUGGUAAUACCUCUGAGACAACAUUUUUGUCCUAUCUCUACCCGCUCCCAACUGCUUACAGAAUGGAUCAUGUCCCCCUUAUGUCGAGGUGACCAUUUAAAUGCUUUCCUGCCUUGUCGAAAGAAAGAAGAGUGUGUUUGCCACUGAUUUAGCCAUGUGAAACUCAUCUCAUUACCCUUUUCUGGGUUCGAAGCUGUUGUCUCUAUCUCCAGAAGUGCCAUCUCAUUGUGCUUUGUAUCAGUCAGUGCUGCAGAAAUCUUGAAUAGCUUGUGUACAAUACUUUUUCAAUUUUAUAUUAUUGUGAAACUUUGCUUCUUUGGGUUUGUGGCACCCUGGCCACCCCAUCUGGCUGUGACAGCCUCUGCAGUCUGUGGACUGGCAGCUUGCGGAUCUUUUUGUUUUUUUAAAGUUUCUUUCCCUACCCAGUCCCCAUUUCCCGAUAAGGUUUCUAGGAGGUCUGUUAGGUGUACAUCCUGCAGCUUAUUGGCUUAAAAUGUACUCUCCUUUGAUGUGGUCUCUUUGGGGCUGAUUGGGAGAAAGAGAAAUCAGUAGUGCAACUGUGUUUGAUACUGAAUAUUGGCAAGUGUCUUUCUGAAAUAAAGAACCAGUCCCUCCAAAAA